rnacentral:lncRNA from 1 species
UUUAUAGGCUUUAAAAGGCUAUGCUGUAGCAGGCGAGUGAUAACAGGCUUUAAUCUUUUUAAAGCGUGCUGCGGGAUGGGAUAUUGGCGUUGAGUGGGGUAAGGGUGAUUAGGUUUUAAUGAGAUGGUAAGGGGUGCAUGAUCGGUCACCAAGGAGGGAGUAGAGGUAUCUUAUACUUGUGGGUUAAGGUGGGGGGAUACAAGAGGAGGACGCAAAGGAGGCUUUGGAUUGGGAAGAAGGGCGGCAAUGAGAUAUAGCUGUAAUCCAGGAGUAGUCAGGGAAGCAGAUAAUUUAGUUAAAGUGUCUCAGCCUAAUAAGGGAACUGGGCAGGUGGGGAUAACUAAAAAGGAGUGCUUGAAAGAGUAUUGUCUAAGUUGGCACCAGAGUUGGGGAGUUUUAAGAGGUUUAGAAGCCUGGCCAUCAGUACUUACAACAGUUAUGGAGGCAAGGGAAACAGGCCCUUGAAAAGAAGGUAAUGUGGAGUGGGUAACCUCUGUAUUGAUUAAGAAGGGGACGGGCUUACCUUCCACUGUGAGAGUUACCGGAAGCUCGGCGUCCGUGAUGGUCUAGGGGGCUUCCGAGGCGAUCCGGCAGCGUCAGUCUUCAGCUGCUAAGCUGAGAAAAUCUGGGAAGGAGUCAGUCAGAGAGCCUUGGGCCAGAGUUCCAGGGGCUCUGGGAGUGGCUGCCAGGUCCCCGGGGCCAGGAGAGACCCGGCAUCCAAGGUGUGCCACAGCUGAGCUUCACCCGGAUAUAUAGACCAGCUCUCCCCACGUCCCAGCACCCUGCCUGGCAGCGCAAUGGAACCGAGGAUGGGGCUGCAGGACGAUACCAGCACUUCAGGAACUGUGACAGAAUCUUGCUCCGCUGCCAAGGCUGGAGUGCACUGGUUCAAUCUCGGCUCACUGCAAACUCUGCCUCCCAAGUUCAAGUGAUUCUCCUGUGUCAGUUUCUUUAGGAAUACAGCACUCCAUAUUGUUACCAUAAUAAUGAAACGGAUUCCCAUGGCUACAGCGAUGAAGCAGCAGAAAAAAAAUGGAGAUGCUGUCAAAGAAAAAAGACACAGAUCAGAGAAAGAAGCAUAAAAGGUUUGGGUAUCUUUGUAUUUAAUAUAAAUAUUAGAGUUUUUUAAAUGAGAAGGUGGUAUUGAUCCUUUUUCUGCCUUAAUAAUUUUUUCCAGAACAGAACAUAAAUACCUCGCAAAUGAUCAAAAAC